GCAUAUCAAUAAGCGGAGGAAAAGAAACCAACAGGGAUUGCCUUAGUAACGGCGAGUGAAGCGGCAACAGCUCAAAUUUGAAAGCUGGCCCUUUUAGGGUCCGCAUUGUAAUUUGUAGAGGAUGAUUCGGCGAGGGCUCCUGCCUAAGUCCCCUGGAACGGGGCGUCAUAGAGGGUGAGAAUCCCGUAUGCGGUAGGUUGCCUUAGCCAUGUGAAUCUCCUUCGACGAGUCGAGUUGUUUGGGAAUGCAGCUCUAAAUGGGAGGUAAAUUUCUUCUAAAGCUAAAUACCGGCCAGAGACCGAUAGCGCACAAGUAGAGUGAUCGAAAGAUGAAAAGCACUUUGGAAAGAGAGUUAAAAAGUACGUGAAAUUGUUGAAAGGGAAGCGCUUGCAACCAGACUUGUCCGCAGUUGCUCAGCCGGUCUCCUGACCGGCGUACUCUUCUGCGGCCAGGCCAGCAUCAGUUCGGGCGGUCGGAUAAAGGCCUCGGGAAUGUGGCUCCUCUCGGGGAGUGUUAUAGCCCGGGGUGCAAUGCGGCCAGCCUGGACUGAGGAACUCGCUUCGGCAAGGAUGCUGGCGUAAUGGUUGUAAGCGGCCCGUCUUGAAACACGGACCAAGGAGUCUAACAUCUAUGCGAGUGUUCGGGUGUCAAACCCGUACGCGUAAUGAAAGUGAACGGAGGUGGGAACCCGCAAGGGUGCACCAUCGGCCGAUCCUGAUGUCUUCGGAUGGAUUUGAGCAAGAGCAUAGCUGUUGGGACCCGAAAGAUGGUGAACUAUGCCUGAAUAGGGUGAAGCCAGAGGAAACUCUGGUGGAGGCUCGCAGCGGUUCUGACGUGCAAAUCGAUCGUCAAAUUUGGGUAUAGGGGCGAAAGACUAAUCGAACCAUCUAGUAGCUGGUUCCUGCGA
rnacentral:rRNA from 2 species